AUUGAACGCUGGCGGCAGGCCUAACACAUGCAAGUCGAGCGGAUGACGGGAGCUUGCUCCUUGAUUCAGCGGCGGACGGGUGAGUAAUGCCUAGGAAUCUGCCUGGUAGUGGGGGACAACGUUUCGAAAGGAACGCUAAUACCGCAUACGUCCUACGGGAGAAAGCAGGGGACCUUCGGGCCUUGCGCUAUCAGAUGAGCCUAGGUCGGAUUAGCUAGUUGGUGGGGUAAUGGCUCACCAAGGCAACGAUCCGUAACUGGUCUGAGAGGAUGAUCAGUCACACUGGAACUGAGACACGGUCCAGACUCCUACGGGAGGCAGCAGUGGGGAAUAUUGGACAAUGGGCGAAAGCCUGAUCCAGCCAUGCCGCGUGUGUGAAGAAGGUCUUCGGAUUGUAAAGCACUUUAAGUUGGGAGGAAGGGCAGUAAGCUAAUACCUUGCUGUUUUGACGUUACCGACAGAAUAAGCACCGGCUAACUCUGUGCCAGCAGCCGCGGUAACAC
rnacentral:rRNA from 1 species